rnacentral:rRNA from 1 species
CACGUAGGUGGCGAGCGUUAUUCGGAUUCACUGGGCGUAAAGGGUCCGCAGGGGGCCUGCCAAGCCUGUCGUGAAAACCCGGGGCUCAACCCCGGGCCUGCGGUGGGUACUGGCGGGCUGGAGUGCGCGAUGGGCGGACGGAACACCUGGUGUAGCGGUGGAAUGCGUGGAUAUCAGGUGGAACACCGAUGGCGAAGGCGGUCCGCUGGCGCGUCACUGACCCUCAUGGACGAAAGCGUGGGUAGCGAACAGGAUUAGAUACCCUGGUAGUCCACGCCGUAAACGUUGAGAACCAGAUGUGGGGGGGCUGGCCCCCCCCGUGUCCAAGUUAACGCGAUAAGUUCUCCGCCUGGGGACUACGGCCGCAAGGCUAAA